rnacentral:lncRNA from 1 species
GUACUAGUUAGCUAUGCUGUAUAUUAGUUAGCUGUGCUGUAUACUAGUUAGCUGUGCUGUGAAUUAGUUAGCUGUGCUGUGUACUAGUUAGCUGUGUUGUGUACUAGUUAGCUGACUGUGACCUGUCCAGUCAGAGGUUCUUGCAGUUAAUUCAUUCGGCAACAGCUUACAAAUCUGUAAGCAGCCCAGCCCUGCUUGGUGCAGUAGAAGCAUUUCUCUUGACUAAAUUAUUGCUUUAGUCGACAAAUUUAACCUUAUGUCCAUUUCGUUACUUUGUAGAACCUUCAAGAAUUAAAGCCUUUGGAUCAGUGUCUGAUUGGGCAGACUAAGGAAAACCGCAGGAAGAACAGAUACAAAAAUAUCCUUCCCUAUGACACCACAAGAGUGCCUCUUGGAGAUGAAGGAGGAUACAUCAACGCCAGUUUCAUCAGGAUCCCGGUGGGGACGCAGGAAUUCGUGUACAUUGCUUGCCAGGGGCCUUUGCCCACCACCGUGGGGGAUUUCUGGCAGAUGGUUUGGGAGCAGAACU